rnacentral:sRNA from 1 species
UGUAUGAUUGUGUGAUAAAUGAAUGUGU